GGGGAGAGCGAGAGAUAGGAAGGCGCCGGGGGUUCGCAAGCCCGUCUUCCCUCGGCAGCUGGAAGGAGGGUGCUUCUUUUUGUUCCUCCGAAUUUUUGUUUCACGGGGGAGAUUUGGCAGAGCAAAUUAUUUGGCGGUAAUUGAUAGAAAGAAGAAAAUGGCAUCCGAUUUCCUCAGGUAGCCUGCCCUGAAAGCCAACAUAAAACUCCUGUCUCUCACCCAGCCACUUACCAGCUUCUCGUUACUUUAACGUUACCGUACUGUAGACUUAGGUUGUCACUUUUUGCUUCGCUAUAGGAAGACUGGUGAGCGUAACAAUUGCACGAACAGACAUUCAGCAGAAACACCGUUCUUUGAGCUGUGGCAGAAAAUCAACACCUUUUUGCUUUCACCAACAAACAAACAAACAAAAACGACAGCAACUUGCAAAGAGAGAGGAAGGGAAGGAAUCACGAGGGGUGGUGGUGUUGCAUCCCUGCUGAUCUCAAUUGGAGCAAGAGAUCCAUAUGAAACCCACAUCAAAUCACAUAUUGUAUUCCAUCUGUCUACCCACAUUAUGAGACUAUUCAGUCCACACGUCAAAAUCAGUCACCACAGAUCCAAUUAUUCUUUCAAGGUUUUGGAAUAUUAUACCCCUCAAAGUAAGAUUUACCCCACCUUCCAAAAAAAACCUUAAACCUGGCUCUGGCAUUUGACCUGAGGUCCCAAUGGAGGUGUCACCUGAUGGAAAUGAUUAGUGAACUAGGAAGAUCUCACCCACACCCUGUUAUAUUCUGACUUGACUGAGCAACAUUUACCGGGCCAAAAUGCAAUGAACCAAGUUAAAAUCCCAAUACCACUCCAAGGACAGCAGUACAGAAGAAGAGAAAUCUCAGUAUUUUUUCUUAAGAUCUUAAGUUGCUAAGGAGGCAAGAUAAAGUAAUGCACUGUCAACACCUAGUAUAUUCUACAUACAAAUUGUAUCCAUAUAAUUUGCAAGGCAUUUAUGGAGAUUGUUUUGAACAGCAUAGAUAAAUAAAUAACAGUAUAUACAAAUUUAGAGUUUUUUUAAAAAACACGAUUAAAUACAGAGAACAAGAUAUUUAAUUUGGUAUCAAUAGAUUUGAUUUUGUUUCAUGUUUAUGUAAAUAUGCUAUAAUCAUUUGCUAUUGUAGGAAGUUAGCACCCACCCCUCUCCUAGGAAAAUGAAAUAUUCUAGGAAAUAUUAAAAAGACGGAACAUUAUAUUUCUCUGGAUGAGAAAUGGAGAAACAUGUUUUUUAGGCAGGAAGCAGACAAACUUUUAAUAGCCUCCACCCUCCUCAAUAACCUACAGCAGAUGUCAGCACUUAAGAAUUAAAGAGAUAGCUAGGUCUAUUCAUAAGCAAAUGCCCUCACCUAAAUUCCAGCAAAGGUAGGAUUAGCCCUCAGCCAUAAUAGAAAUUGCCCAAAGCCUCUUCAGCACAUCAUCACCCAGCAAGAUUCAACCUGGCUCCAUGGGAAUCUGACAACCAAUCAGAAUACAUUUCUUACACAGGAACAGGAAGCUCCAAGGCGAGGCCCAAGAGAGGUUAUAAAUCUUAUCUUCCUCUCUCACCCAUGUGC